rnacentral:pre_miRNA from 1 species
GGGGGGAGGCCGGAUCCUGGGCUGUGUCCCCGGGCCCUGGGCUCCGGGGCCUGAGCUGCUGGAAUCGCUCUCCUGGCUGCGCAGCCCCCU